rnacentral:lncRNA from 10 species
GCGUCUGCACUUUUCCCACCUGUUCCUUCGCUUGCUCCUGCUGUGAGGUGGUUCCAACCCCUCCCUCAGCGAAUUUCUCCAAAACAAGGCCCACGGGCCACAGCCCUCUUGAAGUGCCGGCCACAGCCGUGUUUACACGUGCUUAUUCUGACUCUUUACAUAAAACCCACCGUUGCUCACUGGAAAUACCCAGUGGGCUGCUGCUCAUUUUUCCACAGAAAUGAGGCAGCUGCAGACAGACCCGUGAUGCUGACAGACAGGGCUUAAGCCUGGCAGGGACAAGCAUGGGUCCCACCCGCACACAUUGGAGCUGAACAUUCACAGAGCGGGUGAGGGUGAGAGUUGCUGACUACUGUGACCGCAAGAAUCCCACCUUCAGACGGGACCAUCCUUAACUCCCCUCGAACCAUCUGAGAAGGCUUUCUCGAGUAGGAGCACUUCUUCGAGGCAACACGUCAUGGCCUACGCCCAGCCCUGGGUUGGCUACUCCCCAGAAGUGGAACCUUGGUCAGUCACUUCACUUUAGUUCUCUCAACUGUGAUCCAGCAAAGAUGUGUCUGCUCUGCCUGUCCCUUAAAGAUCAAGUGAUAUGUGAGAUGGAUCUUGGGGAACUCUGAAGUACUAUAAUGACAUUGGACAUUCUUACUAUGAAGAAGAAACCAAGGCUCAAAAAGGAUGUGUCUAUUCUGGUCAUUUCCUGUAAGUGGACUCAUGCAGUGUGUGGUCUUCUGUGGCUGGCUCCUUUCAUUCAUCAUCAUAUUUUCAAGGUCCAUCUGCGCUGUGGCUUAUGUUGGGACUCAGAAAACAACACCUCAAAAUGAAGACCUCAGAAACAAAAGUUUUUCUCUGACCUGCUCCUGCCCUCCUGUUUCUCAGUCCCAUUCUCCCCCGAGGCCAGCCGUUGAGACUGGAAUCCCUCUUUUCCAAGGUGGGUCAUAGAAACCCAAACUCCUUUUCUCCAAAGCCAGCCAUAAAACCUAAAAGUAUCAAUCUCUCUCCCCAACUCCACACCGCCAGUGUAAAAACUGGCCAUAAAACAUGAUGUGACCUACCUUACCUGACUGUAGUUCAUUAGACCCUCAUACCCAGAAGGAAGGAACACAUGCUCAAAGGGGUCAACAAAAAUCUAGAUGGACAGCCUUGCUGGAUUUCCAUACUCACUCUGUUAGCAUUAGAUCAGACCCUUUUUGUCCAAUCGUAUUUCUCCACACAGCUGUCUAUACUUUGUUGAACCUAAGCAUAAAAAUGGACAACUUCCCCUGUAUCUUUGGGUCUUCAUUCUGAAAGCUCCUGUGUCACCUAAAACUAUGGUCAAAUAAAUUUAUGUACCUUUUCUCCUAUUAAUCUGCCUUAUGUGAGUGAUUUUCAACAAAACUUCAGAGGGUGAAGCAGAAUUUUUCCCUUGGACUUGACGCUUGUAUCAGUACUUCAUUUCUUUGUAUUGUGAAUAACUGUGGAUAACACUCCAUUGUGUGGAUAUGCCACAUUUUAUUUAUCUAUUCAUCAGGUGAUAGCCGUUUGAAUUGUUUCCCCUUUUGGGCUAUCAUGAAUAAUGGUGCUAUCAACUGAUGUGCAAGUUUUUGCAUGAGCUUAUAUUUUCAGUUCUUUUGGGGAUAUCCAUAGGAGUGGAAUUGCUGGGUCAUAUGGUAACUCUGUUAACCUUCUGGGGAAAUUUUCCACAAAUAAUUUUGAGAGCCUCCUAUAUGCAAGGUCUGGGCUAGGUGCUGGGGGUUCCAAACAAAUCUUGUGAAAAGUUAGGAACAAAUUCUGGUGAAUAAUACAUGAGGAUUCUAAUAAGGAAUCCACAUUUUAGUAAGUGCUAAGGAUUACAGGAAUGAGCCACCAACCUGGAAUGAAGCUUGUUAAUGUCUACAAAAAAAGGCCAAAUAGAAUUUUGAUUAGGAUUGCAAAACUCUGUAGAUCAAUAUGGGGAGAAAUAAACAAUAUUGAGUCUUAUGAUCCAUGAACAUAGUAUAUCUCUCUAUUUUUUUUAGGUGUUCUUUAAUUUCUCUCAGAAACAUUUUGUAGUUUGCAGUGUAUAGCUCUUACAUACAUUCUGUUAAAUUUAUCCCUAAAGAUGUCAUGUUUGUCAAUGUGACUAUAUAUAGUAUUUUUAAAAAUAUCUAUUUCCAAUUGUUCAUUGCUAGAAAUGCAAUUGAUUUUUGCGUAUUGACUUUGGACACUUCGGCCUUGC